UAGUCCCCGCCUUAUCGCCUAUCUUGAGCGGCGAGGACCUUAUCUGUGGUCUCCCACUAAGGGACUAUUUUAGGAGGCGGGGAACGAUCUCAAGUGACUGACUCAUGUAGUGUGCACUUAGAUUACAUGUUUUUGAGCACUGCACCCAUGUCGCCUUAGAUAACAAAAUCCUAAAUAUAAUUUAUCGCUCUCGAUUCAUUUACAUAAGAUAUGAACGGAGCCCAAAAUUGUAAGUCUUUAAAUAUAUUCGUGUUCAUGUGUGAACAACUAGAGUCCCACAGCCGUACCACAUUCGAGAAGCGAAUUAUGCAGCAGUCAGACAACGAAUUUUCGGAGACGUCAGCAGCUGUAUUGUUUCUCAGAAACACAGAUAUCUAUUUGAUAUUGAUUUCUGGCGCGAUUUCGGAUUGUUGAGCAAGAUAACAGAGGAAACAGAAUCUGUUUCAGAACUCGAUGUAGGAAGAGAGAAUGAAGUCGUUGAUAGCCCAAAAAUGCAUUCGCUAUCGGCAGAGCAACAGAUAAGGCUGAAAGGCGUUAUCUGCAAGCUACCUUCUUUCGAAACCGAAGGAUUAGGAAGAACGCAGCUAAUAGAACACUCCAUCGAUGUAGGUGAAGCGAAGCCUGUGAAGCAGCGACAUUGGCCAAUUUCACCAGCUAAAGAAAAAAUGAUGUUCGCAGAAAUUGAGAACAUUCUAUCCUUAGGCGCUAUACAAGAAUCCCGAAGCCCUUGGGGCAGCAACUGCGUACUAGUCAAGCGGGGAGAGAAAGUUAGACUAUGCUUAGAUUCGCGAGAGGUGAAUAUGCUGACUAUUGAAGAUGCUUAUCCGCUUCCUCACGUUGAUGGAAUUUUUAGCCGGUUACCACCCGCACGUUAUAUCACAGGUCUUGACAUGAAGCACGCAUUCUGGCAAAUUUCGCUGGAGGAAAAGUCAAGACAGUGCACGGCGUUUACUAUACCGAAUCGACCUUCGUAUCACCCCUUUUGGUCUGUGUAACGCAGCACAAACUUUAUGCAGACUAAUGGAUUUAGUAAUACCAGCUACGUUACGUACUAGGGUGUUUGUAUACCUAGACGAUUUGCUAGUCCUGUCAGACGAUUUCGAAUCUCACAUGAGCUUACUGGAAGAGAUCGCUAUGUAUCUUCGUCAGGCUAAUCUCACGAUUAAUAUAGCGAAAUCAAAAUUUUGUAUGACGGAAAUUAAGUACUUAGGCUUUAUUAUUGGCCACGGUAAACUGAAGGUAGAUCCAGGCAAAGUCAGUGCCAUAGAUACAUUCCCAAUACCGAACACUGUCAAGCAGCUCCGAAGGUUUCUCGGGCUCGCUGCUUGGUACAGGCGUUUCGUAGACAAUUAUGCUUCUAUCACGUUUCCCUUGACCGAACUUCUGAAGAAGAACAAGACCUUCUGUUGGAAUCCGGAGGCAGAGAAUGCAUUUAGCCUAUUAAAAGCUAAACUGACAUUCUCGCCGGUAUUAAGAACUCCAGACUUCGAUUGAAAGUUUAUUUUGUUAUGUGAUGCCUGUCUUUACGGACUCGGCUGUGUUUUAGCACAAGAACAUGAAAACGAAGUCGAGCUGCCAAUUGCAUAUAUGUCAGAGAAACUAAGUAAAGCGCAGCGCAAUUACUCAGUUACUGAGCUGGAAUGCCUAGCGGUUAUUGAAUUGCAAUGGCUAAUGAAACAGAAAGAUCUUUCUGGACGCUUAGCCAGGUGGGCAAUUCAGUUGCAGGUCUUUUCAUUUAACAUAAAGCACAGGAAGGGAUCGCAGAACGUUGUAGCUGACGCACUUUCGAGGCGCGAAAAAGACGUCAUAAGCGAACUGACUGAUUCUGGCCCCAUUGUCAAUUUGUCAUCUAACGAAUUCCUAUCGGAAGAGUAUCUUGAUCUAGUCAACCGUGUCAAAGAAAAUCAGGCUAGGUUGCCUGAUCUGAAAGUAAUAGAUGAAUUCGUGUAUAAAAGAACAGAGCCCUCCAGAGGAGAUAGACUACAGGAAGCAGAGUCUUGGAAACUCUGGAUUCCGAAACUACUAACUGACAAAGUCUUAAAUCGCGCACACGACUCACCGGAUUCUGCUCAUGUCGGAAUGACUAAAAUGAUCGAAAAAAUAAAACGAUAUUUAUUUUGGCCCGGAAUGGUGACUCAGAUUCGAGACUACGUAGCUAACUGUUCGAUAUGCAAAGCUACAAAGAGUCCAAAUCAUAUUCUCAGAACGCCAAAGGGCAAUCCGACAACGUCAGAAAGGCCAUUCCAGAAACUUUACAUGGACCUUUUAGGACCGUAUCCCCGUUCGAAGAGCGGAAUAAUAGGGCUCCUUAUAAUAGUCGACCAUAACACCAAAUUCCAUUUCUUGCAUCCAAUGCGAAAAUUUACAUCUGAGAAGAUAUGCGACUUCUUAUUGAAGAAUGUCUUUUCUACAUUCAUGUGUGCACAGCUAUUUACUCGCCCCAAGCCAACGCGAGCGAGCGAAUAAACCGAUCCGUACUAGCGGCAACUAGAGCGUAUGUCGGGUCUGAUCAUACUACUUGGGACAAUCAUAUCGAGGAAAUUAGUGCAUCCUUGAGAGCUAGCGUACAUCGUAGCACCGGAUUUUCACCGUAUUUCUUAUGCUUUGGGCAGAAUAUGAUAAUGAAUGGACAGGAUUAUGAACUCUUAAGAAGAUUGCAGUUAUUGAACAAUGAUACAGCAUUAAUGACGCCUGAUAUAGAGGCAAAAUGAGAGAGACACAUGCAAACAAUGCGAAGGUAUAUAAUUUGCAUAGCCGUUUAUUAUGUUUGAAUGUAGGCGACACAGCAUAUGCUCGUAAUUUUGCGCAAAGCAACGCAGCUAAAAAGUUUAGUGCCAAACUCGCUCCUGUUUUCAUUAAAGCCAAAGUGUCAAAGAGAAUCAGUAACAUCUAUUUUGAGUUAGUAGACGAUUCUAGCAAGGUCUUGGGUGUUUAUCACCUGAAGGAUAUUCGAACUUAACGCUUCGCCGAAUUGCGACUGACCUUUUUCAAUUAAUACUUCGUCGAGAUAUGACUCAUGCUGAAUUAACUGUGGUGUUGGGGUCAGCAUAGAAAACCAAAACAAAAUAAAUUGUACCGCAGCAGAAGAUACAAAUUGACCUUAAAUUCGUUCAGGCCCAGUGUAAAAGUUAGAGUAGUAAUUCCAAUCGGUAAUGCAGAUCUAAUCGCACCGCUUCGAUACUCCCAGUUGUCUAACUAUCUCGCUCUCGCACACAUUCGCAAGGCACACAGGCAGAAUAGAAUAGAGGCAGAGCCUGGAAAAGUCCCGUUUUUAGCGGUUCGCGAAAAUUUCAGUCGACUGUACAAUUCGUAGAUCAGCUCGUUCAUUUGGUUUUGCAAUCUCGAAAUAUUUAAAUGGCGAAAGGUCAUCAUCUAGUGUAAAGAAGUAUAGCCACGUGGAAUUCUUUAACCACGAGGGUGUUACAUAAAUCCCAGUUUGUGAGCAAAACCACAUAUUGAAGUCAGUGAAAUCAGUCUAUUGAAGUCAGUGAAAUCAGUCUACUUGAGCAAGCAGACGUAGGUCAAGGCCAGAACACGCGCUUGUCGCGGGCGCUCUCGCGCUUACAUUUGUUAAAUCACCCUCCUGGUCCUGGCCAGCCUACAGUUCAGCGUGCAGCCACAGUUUAUGGGCGCGUUCAGCAUAUUUCACGUUUAGCAACUUGAGGUCGGAAGAGAACAGCACCUCGGCGUAGGCAACACCGCCUGAACCACCACAUAAUAAAACUCGUCGCUAGGGACUAGCCAAUCCUAGCCAAGAUGCAGGAUAUCCAUCAAAUCUGAACCGCCUCGCACCGCCGCUGAAAAGCCACAUUUACCGUUUUGCUAUAAGCAAGCCCGCCGUAGCGCGCACCGGCCACGUGCGGCUCAUGUUUAAGGAAAGUCGUCUCCCAGAAGUAGAUCGUCGUUGAAGAGAGAGACCCGCAGAAGCUCGUCAGCCGAUCCGAAGCACGUGUGUCGCUAGCAAUAUAAUUUAGAAGUUACGAAUACGGGUGCUGUAAGAGCAGGCAAUCAUUUAGGACCGCCGUCGUUUAAAGCCAUAAACAGAGAAGUCGUUUGCAUUCAUUAAAUUAGUAAACUUUAAGUCAGACCGUUUAUCUUAUACUAGUUAUGUUCUUUAUCAUAUAGUUGUAAAACAGAGAGCGAUCUGUAUACCGCCGGAGUGUAUCCCAUUUAAGAAUGAAUUAACUGCGCAUUUACUUUGACAACGUUUUAAACAGCACCUGCAUCUCGAUGGGCCCAGCGAAUCAGCAGCGAGGAUCUGUACGUAAGUGAUUAAGCCGCAAUAUCGGCAAACGUAUGCGCAUAUAUUUUUAUAUUCAAUUUUAAGUGGGAGUUGUAAAACCGGCGUAUAAGAAAGCAUGUAGUUUAAUCUAUCUUUAUUUUGAUUUGGAACACUUGUAUUUGAGAAGAACACCCAUGAAGGGAACCGAUGUGGAUAAUUUUGUAUUAUGAAUAGUUGUUAUUAUGGAUAGAUAAAUCCACAAAUCCGGGUCUGUUGCCAGUACCGUGAUGCGAAUGUCAAUAUCCUAUGAAAUGAAUUGAAAUGUAAUAAAAGAAUUGUUAAGGGGUAACCAAUGAA